rnacentral:tRNA from 1 species
GGGCCGUUAGCUCAGCUGGCAGAGCAACUGACUCUUAAUCAGUAGGUCUUCGGUUCGAUCCCGAAACGGCUCACCA